GAUGAACGCUAGCUACAGGCUUAACACAUGCAAGUCGAGGGGCAGCAUGGUCUUAGCUUGCUAAGGCCGAUGGCGACCGGCGCACGGGUGAGUAACACGUAUCCAACCUGCCGUCUACUCUUGGACAGCCUUCUGAAAGGAAGAUUAAUACAAGAUGGCAUCAUGAGUCCGCAUGUUCACAUGAUUAAAGGUAUUCCGGUAGACGAUGGGGAUGCGUUCCAUUAGAUAGUAGGCGGGGUAACGGCCCACCUAGUCUUCGAUGGAUAGGGGUUCUGAGAGGAAGGUCCCCCACAUUGGAACUGAGACACGGUCCAAACUCCUACGGGAGGCAGCAGUGAGGAAUAUUGGUCAAUGGGCGCAGGCCUGAACCAGCCAAAUAGCGUGAAGGAUGACUGCCCUAUGGGUUGUAAACUUCUUUUAUAAAGGAAUAAAGUCGGGUAUGUAUACCCGUUUGCAUGUACUUUAUGAAUAAGGAUCGGCUAACUCCGUG
rnacentral:rRNA from 1 species